UACGUAGGGGCCUAGCGUUGUCCGGAUUUAUUGGGCGUAAAGAGCUCGUAGGCGGUCCAUCGCGUCGGGAGUGAAAAGCUGGGGCUUAACCCCAGUCCUGCUUCCGAUACGGGUGGACUAGAGGUAGGUAGGGGAGAACGGAAUUCCUGGUGUAGCGGUGAAAUGCGCAGAUAUCAGGAGGAACACCGGUGGCGAAGGCGGUUCUCUGGGCCUUACCUGACGCUGAGGAGCGAAAGCAUGGGGAGCAAACAGG
rnacentral:rRNA from 1 species